rnacentral:rRNA from 1 species
AUGGAUCCAGCCAGUUCCGUUCGAAGAAUCAGGGAGGACCUCGCCAUCCUAGAACUGCCUAAACAGUUCAGCUUGGUACUGCCUGGUUAUGGUUGGCAACCACCAGUUGAUGCUACCAUCAAGAUCAACACAGAUGCGGCUACACAUUUGGAUGAUUUGCAUGCAGGAGCAGGUGGAGUUGCUCGGUCUUUCUCGGCUCUAAAGGGCGCAUGGUGCAAGCCCCUUCCCGGAGUUACGGAUCCCCUCAUCGCCGAGGCCCUAGCUCUCAAGGAAGGUGUGAUUUUUGCUUCCUUACGCGGCUACACACAUGUGAUCUUAGAGACCGACUGUCUAGAGGUGGUUAACCUCUGGAACUCGUGCCUCACCGACCGUUCGGUGAUAGCACCUAUUCUGGCAGAAGUUGGAGAGCUCUCUCUUAGUUUUUUCUCUUUUGUAAUUCAACAUGUAUCGAGACCAGCUAACGGUCCUGCACACCUUUGUGCUAAGCGACCUUGUUCGCUUAAUGUGACCGAAAGCUGGUUGGACUCUACCCCUAGCUUCCUGAUCAGCAGCCUCCUGGCUGAUUGCUCGGCGAAUGCGUUUUGUUGA